rnacentral:rRNA from 1 species
UACGAACUGUGCAAACGUUAUUCGGAUUCACUGGGCUUAAAGGGUGCGUAGGCGGCCAUGUAAGUAGGGUGUGAAAUCCCCCGGCUUAACCGGGGAACUGCGCCCUAAACUGUGUGGCUUGAGUGAGAUAGGGGUGUGUGGAACUUCCGGUGGAGCGGUGAAAUGUGUUGAUAUCGGAAGGAACGCCGGUGGCGAAAGCGACACACUGGGUCUCAACUGACGCUGAGGAGCGAAAGCGUGGGGAGCGAACAGG